rnacentral:rRNA from 1 species
AUACGUAGGGUGCAAGCGUUGUCCGGAAUUAUUGGGCGUAAAGAGCUCGUAGGCGGCUUGUCGCGUCUGCUGUGAAAACCCGAGGCUCAACCUCGGGCUUGCAGUGGUACGGGCAGGCUAGAGUGCGGUAGGGGAGAUUGGAAUUCCUGGUGUAGCGGUGGAAUGCGCAGAUAUCAGGAGGAACACCGAUGGCGAAGGCAGAUCUCUGGGCCGUAACUGACGCUGAGGAGCGAAAGCAUGGGGAGC